CACGUAGGGCGCAAGCGUUGUCCGGAAUUAUUGGGCGUAAAGAGCUCGUAGGCGGUCUGUUACGUCUGCUGUGAAAACCCUGGGCUUAACCCUGGGCUUGCAGUGGAUACGGGCAGACUAGAGGCAGGUAGGGGAGGAUGGAAUUCCCGGUGUAGCGGUGAAAUGCGCAGAUAUCGGGAGGAACACCAAUGGCGAAGGCAGCUCGCUGGGACGGUACUGACGCUGAGGCGCGAAAGCGUGGGGAGCAAACGGG
rnacentral:rRNA from 1 species